UGGCUAUUAAUCUGUGAUAACAUGAUUAUUAAAUCAAUAUUGAAUGCGUGUUUAAACUUGUCCAUUAUUGUACGUAGUGACCUUUAACAUGUUGAUACGUGUCAAUAAACCCGCCAUUUUGAAAAAUCGCGUCUGUCUUUUGAAAUCAUUAAAUCGUUAUAUUAUUGACACUUAUUAGAAUAAUAUAUCUUAAUAUUUAUAGGAUGAUUUUUUUUUUAAGUAUUUG
rnacentral:lncRNA from 1 species